rnacentral:rRNA from 1 species
GAUGAACGCUGGCGGCGUGCCUAAUACAUGCAAGUCGAGCGAACGGACGAGAAGCUUGCUUCUCUGAUGUUAGCGGCGGACGGGUGAGUAACACGUGGAUAACCUACCUAUAAGACUGGGAUAACUUCGGGAAACCGUAGCUAAUACCGGAUAAUAUUUUGAACCGCAUGGUUCAAAAGUGAAAGACGGUCUUGCUGUCACUUAUAGAUGGAUCCGCGCUGCAUUAGCUAGUUGGUAAGGUAACGGCUUACCAAGGCAACGAUGCAUAGCCGACCUGAGAGGGUGAUCGGCCACACUGGAACUGAGACACGGUCCAGACUCCUACGGGAGGCAGCAGUAGGGAAUCUUCCGCAAUGGGCGAAAGCCUGACGGAGCAACGCCGCGUGAGUGAUGAAGGUCUUCGGAUCGUAAAACUCUGUUAUUAGGGAAGAACAUAUGUGUAAGCAACUGUGCACAUCUUGACGGUACCUAAUCAGAAAGCCACGGCUAACUACGUG